CAAAUAGCGUAUAUUAAAGUUGUUGCAGUUAAAAAGCUCGUAGUUGAACUUCGGGGUUUACCCAUUGGUCAGGCUUAAUUGUCUGUACUGGUGAGAUAAAUCUCUACCUUCUGAGGAACUUUCAUGCCAUUUAUUUGGUGUGAUAGGAAAUCAGGACUGUUACUUUGAAAAAAUUAGAGUGUUUAAAGCAGGCUAACGUCUGAAUACAUUAGCAUGGAAUAAUGAAAUAGGACGGACUGAUUCUAUUUCGUUGGUUUCUAGGAUCACCGUAAUGAUUAAUAGGGAUAGUUGGGGGCAUUAGUAUUCAAUUGUCAGAGGUGAAAUUCUUGGAUUUAUUGAAGACUAACUACUGCGAAAGCAUUUGCCAAGGAUGUUUUCAUUAAUCAAGAACGAAAGUUAGGGGAUCGAAGACGAUCAGAUACCGUCGUAGUCUUAACCAUAAACUAUGCCGACUAGGGAUCGGACGAAGUUAAUUUUAUAAUGACGCGUUCGGCACCUUAC
rnacentral:rRNA from 1 species